CCUACGUGAGGCAGCAGUGAGGAAUAUUGGUCAAUGGGCUUACGCCUGAACCAGCCAAGUCGCGUGAGGGAAGACUGCCCUAUGGGUUGUAAACCUCUUUUGUCAGGGAGCAACGCCGGCUACGUGUAGCCGGACUGAGAGUACCUGAAGAAAAAGCAUCGGCUAACUCCGUGCCAGCAGCAGCGGUAAUACGGAGGAUGCGAGCGUUAUCCGGAUUUAUUGGGUUUAAAGGGUGCGUAGGCGGAAUGCCAAGUCAGCGGUAAAAUGGCGGGGCUCAACCUCGCUCCGCCGUUGAAACUGGCGUUCUUGAGUGGGCGAGAAGUAUGCGGAAUGCGUGGUGUAGCGGUGAAAUGCAUAGAUAUCACGCAGAACUCCGAUUGCGAAGGCAGCAUACCGGCGCCCAACUGACGCUGAAGCACGAAAGCGUGGGUAUCGAACAGGAUUAGAUACCCCAGUAGUC
rnacentral:rRNA from 1 species